AAGUCUUCGGACGAGUAGAGUGGCGCACGGGUGAGUAAUACAUGGGAACGUACCUUUAAGUGGGGGAUAACUACGGGAAACUGUAGCUAAUACCGCAUUAACUCGAGAGAGUAAAGAUGGCCUCUAUUUAUAAGCUAUCGCUUAAAGAUCGGCCCAUGUCCCAUUAGCUAGUUGGCGGGGUAAAGGCCCACCAAGGCUACGAUGGGUAGCUGGUCUGAGAGGACGAUCAGCCACACUGGAACUGAGACACGGUCCAGACUCCUACGGGAGGCAGCAGUCGGGAAUUUUGCACAAUGGGGGAAACCCUGAUGCAGCAACGCCGCGUGAGUGAAGAAGGCCUUUGGGUUGUAAAGCUCUUUCGAUUGGGAAGAAGGGCUUCAUGGCUAAUAUCCAUGGAGUUUGACGGUACCAGAAGAAGAAGCACCUGCUAACUACGUGCCAGCAGCAGCGGUAAUACGUAGGGUGCAAGCGUUGUUCGGAAUCAUUGGGCGUAAAGCGAACGUAGGCGGGUCAGUAAGUCAAGUGUGAAAUCCCUGAGCUUAACUCGGGAAUUGCAUUCGAUACUGCCGAUCUUGAAUGCUUGAGAGGGUAGUGGAAUUCCAGGUGUAGAAGUGAAAUUCGUAGAUAUCUGGAGGAACAUCCGAGGCGAAGGCGGCCACCUGGCAAGACAUUGACGCUGAGGUUCGAAAGCGUGGGGAUCAAACAGGAUUAGAUACCCUGGUAGUCCACGCCGUAAACGAUGGAUACUAGAUGUUCGGAGAGUUAACCCUCUGA
rnacentral:rRNA from 1 species